rnacentral:rRNA from 1 species
CUGGCUCAGGAUGAACGCUAGCGGCAGGCUUAACACAUGCAAGUCGAGGGGCAUCGGGAGUAGCAAUACUGCCGGCGACCGGCGCAAGGGUGCGUAACGCGUGAGCAACAUGCCCGUAUCAGGGGGAUAAUCCAUGGAAACGUGGUCUAAUACCCCAUAGUAAUUAUGUAAGGCAUCUUAUAUAAUUUAAAGCUUUGGUGGAUACGGAUUGGCUCGCGUGACAUUAGCUGGAUGGUAAGGUAACGGCUUACCAUGGCUACGAUGUCUAGGGGUUCUGAGAGGAAGGUCCCCCACACUGGAACUGAGACACGGUCCAGACUCCUACGGGAGGCAGCAGUGAGGAAUAUUGGACAAUGGAUGGAAAUCUGAUCCAGCCAUGCCGCGUGCAAGGAAGACGGCCCUAUGGGUUGUAAACUGCUUUUGUAUGGGAGCAAUAAGGGCUACGUGUAGUCCGAUGAGAGUACCAUACGAAUAAGCACCGGCUAACUCCGUGCCAGCCGCUGC